rnacentral:lncRNA from 1 species
CACAGGUCAACAUGCAGUAGUCUGUAGAGGAUACACAGGUCAACAUGCAGUAGUCUGUCUAGAGGAUACACAGGUCAACGUGCAGUAGUCUGUCUAGAGGAUACACAGGUCAACGUGCAGUAGUCUGUCUAGAGGAUACACAGGUCAACAUGCAGUAGUCUGUCUAGAGGAUACACAGGUCAACAUGCAGUAGUCUGUAGAGUAUACACAGGUCAACAUGCAGUAGUCUGUAGAGGAUACACAGGUCAACAUGCAGUAGUCUGUAGAGGAUACACAGGUCAACAUGCAGUAGUCUGUAGAGGAUACACAGGUCAACAUGCAGUAGUCUGUAGAGGAUACACAGGUCAACAUGCAGUAGUCUGUAGAGGAUACACAGGUCAACAUGCAGUAGUCUGUAGAGGAUACACAGGUCAACAUGCAGUAGUCUGUCUAGAGGAUACACAGGUCAACAUGCAGUAGUCUGUAGAGGAUACACAGGUCAACAUGCAGUAGUCUGUCUGGAGGAUACACAGGUCACCCUUGGGUCAUGGCUUAAUACUGGAUCCUGGCCCAUCCAUCCUGACUGAUUUCACUUGGCUUAUGGCUUAAUACUGGAUCCUGGCCCGUCUGUCCUGGCUGAUUUCCCUUGGGUCAUGGCUUAAUACUGGAUCGUGGUCCGUCUGUCCUGGCAGAUUUCCCUUGGGUCAUAGCUUAAUACUGGAUCCUGGCCCAUCCAUCCUGACUGAUUUCACUUGGCUUAUGGCUCAAUACUGGACCCUGGCCCGUUGGUCCUGGCUGAUUUCCCUUGGCUUAUGGCUUAAUACUGGAUCGUGGUCCGUCUGUCCUGGCUGAUUUCCCUUGGGUCAUAGCUUAAUACUGGAUCCUGGCCCAUCCAUCCUGACUGAUUUCACUUGGCUUAUGGCUCAAUACUGGACCCUGGCCCGUCGGUCCUGGCUGAUUUCCCUUGGCUUAUGGCUUAAUACCGGAUCCUGGCCCAUCGGUUCUGGCUGAUUUCCCUCAGGUCAUGGUUUAAUACUGGAUCCUGGCCCAUCAGUCCUGGCUGAUUUCCCUCAGGUCAUGGUUUAAUACCGGAUCCUGGCCCAUCGGUUCUGGCUGAUUUCCCUCAGGUCAUGGUUUAAUACUGGAUCCUGGCCCAUCAGUCCUGGCUGAUUUCCCUCAGGUCAUGGUUUAAUACUGGAUCCUGACCCGGAAAAUUGAUCUGUGUGUUUACUUGUGGAUCAUAGGAUGUCCCAAAUGGCACCCUAUUGCCUAAUACUCUGGUCAGAAGUAAAGUACUACGUCAGUGGAGGCUGCUGAGGGGAGGAUGGUUCAUAAUAGUGUCUGAGAGAGAAUGGAAUGGAAUCAAACACAUAGAAACCAUGUGUUUUAUACAAUCACCACGAGCCCGUCCUCCACCACUAAGAUGCCACCAACCUCCUGUGCUAUAAAGGGAACAUGGUGCCAUUUGGGAUGCUAGGUGCUUUAUGAAACACAAGGGUGGUGGGACAUACAGCUAGAGGUAGUAAACCAGAGGGAGAGGAGGCUGUGUUGGAGUACAGGGGUGGUGGGACAUACAGCUAGAGGUAGUAAACCAGAGGUAGAGGAGGCUGUGUUGGAGUACAGGGGUGGUGGGACAUACAGCUAGAGG